AUUGAACGCUGGCGGCAGGCUUAACACAUGCAAGUCGAACGAGCGGCGGACGGGUGAGUAAUGUCUGGGAAUCUGGCUUAUGGAGGGGGAUAACUACUGGAAACUGUAGCUAAUACCGCGUACCAUCGGAUGUGCCCAGGUGGGAUUAGUUAGUUGGUGAGGUAAAGGCUCACCUAGCCGACGAUCUCUAGCUGGUCUGAGAGGAUGACCAGCCACACUGGGACUGAGACACGGCCCAGACUCCUACGGGAGGCAGCAGUGGGGAAUAUUGCGCAAUGGGGGCAAGCCUGACGCAGCCAUGCCGCGUGAAUGAAGAAGGCCUUCGGGUUGUAAAGUUCUUUCGGUAGCGAGGCGUUAACUACAGAAGAAGCACCGGCUAACUCCGUGCCAGCAGCCGCGGUAAUAC
rnacentral:rRNA from 1 species